rnacentral:rRNA from 1 species
GUGGGGAAUAUUGGACAAUGGGCGAAAGCCUGAUCCAGCCAUGCCGCGUGUGUGAAGAAGGUCUUCGGAUUGUAAAGCACUUUAAGUUGGGAGAAAGGGCAGUAAGUUAAUACCUUGCUGUUUUGACGUUACCGACAGAAUAAGCACCGGCUAACUUCGUGCCAGCAGCCGCGGUAAUACGAAGGGUGCAAGCGUUAAUCGGAAUUACUGGCCGUAAAGCGCGCGUAGGUGGUUUUGUAAGUUGGAGGUGAAAUCCCCGGGCUCAACCUGGGAACUGCCUCCAAAACUGCAUGACUAGAGUACGGUAGAGGGUAGUGGAAUUUCCUGUGUAGCGGUGAAAUGCGUAGAUAUAGGAAGGAACACCAGUGGCGAAGGCGACUACCUGGACUGAUACUGACACUGAGGUGCGAAAGCGUGGGGAGCAAACAGGAUUAGAAACCCGAGUAGUCC